UACGUAGGCAGCAAGCGUUGUUCGGAGUUACUGGGCGUAAAGGGUGUGUAGGCGGUUGGAUAAGUGUGGUGUGAAAUCUCCCGGCUCAACUGGGAGGGUGCGCUACAAACUGUCUGACUCGAGUGUGGGAUGGGUAAGUGGAAUUCCUGGUGUAGCGGUGAAAUGCGCAGAUAUCGGGAGGAACACCGGUGGCGAAGGCGGUUCUCUGGGCGAUGUCCUGACGCUGAGGAGCGAAAGUGUGGGGAGCGAACAGG
rnacentral:rRNA from 1 species